rnacentral:piRNA from 1 species
UGCUCAGUCAUAAGAGCUGGUGUCAGCCAC